AAGUCGUAACAAGGUUUCCGUAGGUGAACCUGCGGAAGGAUCAUUAUUGGAAUUGAAAUUUCUGGCAGGAAGUUGUUGCUGGCUCCCCUUAGAAAAGGGAGUAUGUGCACGCCUCUUGUUAGUUUCUUCCUUUCUCUCACCUGUGCACUGCCUGUAGACUUUUAAGUGUCUAUGAUAUUUUUUUUUAUUACACACACACACAUACACUUUUGAAUGUAUUUGUAUUGGGUCAAGGUCAUUUUGUACCUUAUAAUAUUGCACAACUUUCAACAACGGAUCUCUUGGCUCUC
rnacentral:misc_RNA from 1 species